rnacentral:tRNA from 1 species
CCCCUCGUAACAUAAAUGGAUAGUGUACCUCUCCAGCUAAGAGGGCAGUGUGGGUUCGAAUCCCACCGAGGGGG